rnacentral:lncRNA from 1 species
CAGAUGAAAAGGCUAAACAUUCCCUUCAACCAAACUGGGCUCAGGGGGCAGCAGGUCUAAUGAAUCCUGGCACUUCUUUGGCCCUUGGGGGAGCUACUUGAACUUUUAAUGAUGCUGGAGUAAGAACUCCUCCUGCAGACUCCUGGGGCCCUGGGAGCCCGGCUGCCUUCCCUAGGGAAGUUAAGGAGGGAAGUCUGUUGUGAGGAGGAGGAGGAGGAAGGCAAACAGGGGAUUUUCGUCCUCAGAACUUCUCCAGGAAGACUCCCACCCCACACCAGCCGCUGGCGGCGGGGCAGGACCUUACAACUAUGAACUUGAAGAACUUCAGUCAGCUCAAACGGCCCCUUGGAAUCACCCAGACUCAGCCUUCACUGACAGAUGGAGAAACUGAAGCCAGAGAAGGGAAACACUUGCCUAAGUUCUCCCAGCCUCGUGCGCUAAUCUAUACAGCAGGGUUGGGACUUCCUAGCCAAGGAAUGGGAGUUCUAGACCACACAGCUGAUGGGGUUUUCCUAUUCCCUAAGACACAACAAUAUCAAAACAAAGCCAAUUAAUAAUCCUACAAUGGCCUCUAAAUGCUCAGUGAAAGGAAGAGUCACAUCUCUCACUUUAAAUCAAAAG